rnacentral:rRNA from 1 species
UCGGGAAACCGGAGCUAAUACCGGAUAAUAUAUUGAACCGCAUGGUUCAAUAGUGAAAGACGGUUUUGCUGUCACUUAUAGAUGGAUCCGCGCCGCAUUAGCUAGUUGGUAAGGUAACGGCUUACCAAGGCAACGAUGCGUAGCCGACCUGAGAGGGUGAUUGGCCACACUGGAACUGAGACACGGUCCAG